rnacentral:rRNA from 1 species
UGCAGUCGAUUCAAGUUACCUUCGGGUAAUGAGGAUGGCGGACGGGUGAGUAACGCGUAAGGAACUUGCCUCUUGGACUGGGACAACUGUUGGAAACGACAGCUAAUACCGGAUAUUAUGAGAUUCUCGCAUGAGAAACUUAUGAAAGCUAUAUGCGCCAAGAGAGAGCCUUGCGUUCCAUUAGCUAGUUGGUGGGGUAACGGCCCACCAAGGCGACGAUGGAUAGCCGGCCUGAGAGGGUGAACGGCCACAAGGGGACUGAGACACGGCCCUUACUCCUACGGGAGGCAGCAGUGGGGAAUAUUGGACAAUGGGCCACAAGCCUGAUCCAGCAAUUCUGUGUGCACGAUGAAGGUCUUCGGAUUGUAAAGUGCUUUCAGUUGGGAAGAAGAAAGUGACGGUACCAACAGAAGAAGCGACGGCUAAAUACGUGCCAGCAGCCGCGGUAAUACGUAUGUCGCAAGCGUUAUCCGGAUUUAUUGGGCGUAAAGCGCGUCUAGGCGGAAAAAUAAGUCUGAUGUUAAAAUGCGGGGCUCAACUCCGUAUUGCGUUGGAAACUGUUUUUCUAGAGUACUGGAGAGGUGGGCGGAACUACAAGUGUAGAGGUGAAAUUCGUAGAUAUUUGUAGGAAUGCCGAUGGAGAAGUCAGCUCACUGGACAGAUACUGACGCUGAAGCGCGAAAGCGUG